rnacentral:rRNA from 1 species
GGUGCAGUAGGGAAUCUUCCGCAAUGGACGCAAGUCUGACGGAGCAACGCCGCGUGAGUGACGAAGGUUUUCGGAUCGUAAAACUCUGUUGUGAGGGAAGAACACGUACCAGCUAACUACUGGUACCUUGACGGUACCUCACCAGAAAGCCACGGCUAACUACGUGCCAGCAGCCGCGGUAAUACGUAGGUGGCAAGCGUUGUCCGGAAUUAUUGGGCGUAAAGCGCGCGCAGGCGGUCCCUUAAGUCUGAUGUGAAAGCCCACGGCUCAACCGUGGAGGGUCAUUGGAAACUGGGGGACUUGAGUGCAGAAGAGGAAAGUGGAAUUCCACGUGUAGCGGUGUAAUUUUUAGAGAUGUGGAGGAACCCCAGUGGCGAAGGCGACUUUCUGGUCUGUAACUGACGCUGAAGCCCGAAAGGAGG